GCGUUGUUGGUGUAGUGGUUAGCAUUGAAGCCUUCCACUCCCGCCGGGGAGAAACAGCUUUAGUCCGGGGUUCGAAUCCCCGACAACGCA
rnacentral:tRNA from 2 species